UUGACCUCGGAUCAGGUAGGACUACCCGCUGAACUUAAGCAUAUCAAUAAGCGGAGGAAAAGAAACCAACAGGGAUUGCCUCAGUAACGGCGAGUGAAGCGGCAACAGCUCAGAUUUGGAAUCUGGCCCCCAGGGCCCGAGUUGUAAUCUGGAGAGGAUGCUUCUGGCGCGGCGCCUUCCGAGUUCCCUGGAACGGGACGCCGGAGAGGGUGAGAGCCCCGUACGGUCGGACGCCCAGCCUCUGUGAAGCUCCUUCGACGAGUCGAGUAGUUUGGGAAUGCUGCUCAAAAUGGGAGGUAAAUUUCUUCUAAAGCUAAAUACCGGCCAGAGACCGAUAGCGCACAAGUAGAGUGAUCGAAAGAUGAAAAGCACUUUGAAAAGAGGGUUAAACAGUACGUGAAAUUGUUGAAAGGGAAGCGCCCGUGGCCAGACUUGCGCCCCGCGGACCACCCGGCGUUCUCGCCGGUGCACUCCGCGAGGCGCAGGCCAGCAUCGGUUCUCCCAGGGGGACAAAGGUUGCGGGAACGUAGCUCCUACGGGAGUGUUAUAGCCCGUGGCGCCAUGCCCCUGGGGGGACCGAGGACCGCGCUUCGGCAAGGAUGC
rnacentral:rRNA from 1 species